UAAGGUUAAGUUAGUAAGGGCGCACGGUGGAUGCCUUGGCACUAGGAGCCGAAGAAGGACGUGACAAACGACGAAAUGCCUUGGGGAGCUGUAAGUAAGCGUAGAUCCAGGGAUGUCCGAAUGGGGGAACCCAAUAGGUAGAUACCUAUUACCCGUAUCUGUUAAGGAUAUGAGGAGGAAGACGCAGUGAACUGAAACAUCUAAGUAGCUGCAGGAAGAGAAAGCAAAAGCGAUUGCCUGAGUAGCGGCGAGCGAAAGGGCAAGAGGGCAAACCGAGAAGUUUACUUCUCGGGGUUGUAGGACUGCGAUGUGGAUUUAAAGAUUAUAGAAGAAGACCUUGGGAAAGGUUGCCAGAGAGAGUAAGAGCCUCGUAUUUUAAAUAAUCUUUAUACCUAGCAGGAUCCUGAGUACGGCGGGACACGAGGAAUCCCGUCGGAAUCUGGGAGGACCAUCUCCCAACCCUAAAUACUCCCUAGUGACCGAUAGUGAACCAGUACCGUGAGGGAAAGGUGAAAAGCACCCCGGGAGGGGAGUGAAAGAGAACCUGAAACCGUGUGCCUACAACAAGUUCGAGCCCGUUAAUGGGUGAGAGCGUGCCUUUUGUAGAAUGAACCGGCGAGUUACGUUAUGAUGCGAGGUUAAGUUGAAGAGACGGAGCCGUAGGGAAACCGAGUCUGAAGAGGGCGGUAUAGUAUCAUGAUGUAGACCCGAAACCAUGUGACCUACCCAUGAGCAGGUUGAAGGUGAGGUAAAACUCACUGGAGGACCGCACCAGGGCACGUUGAAAAGUGCUUGGAUGACUUGUGGGUAGCGGAGAAAUUCCAAACGAACUUGGAGAUAGCUGGUUCUCUCCGAAAUAGCUUUAGGGCUAGCGUCGACAGAAAGAUUCUUGGAGGUAGAGCACUGUUUGGGUGAGGGGUCCAUCCCGGAUUACCAAUCUCAGAUAAACUCCGAAUGCCAAUGAAUUAUGGUCGGCAGUCAGACUGCGAGUGCUAAGAUCCGUAGUCGAAAGGGAAACAGCCCAGACCACCAGCUAAGGUCCCAAAAUAAUUGUUAAGUGGAAAAGGAUGUGGGGUUGCACAGACAACUAGGAUGUUAGCUUAGAAGCAGCUAUUCAUUCAAAGAGUGCGUAAUAGCUCACUAGUCGAGUGACCCUGCGCCGAAAAUGUACCGGGGCUAAAACAAUUUACCGAAGCUGUGGAUCCUUUAGGGGAUGGUAGGAGAGCGUUCUAUGUGUGGUGAAGGUGUACCGUGAGGAGCGCUGGAACGCAUAGAAGUGAGAAUGCCGGUAUGAGUAGCGCAAGACAGGUGAGAAUCCUGUCCACCGUAAGACUAAGGUUUCCAGGGGAAGGCUCGUCCGCCCUGGGUUAGUCGGGAUCUAAGGAGAGACCGAAAGGUGUAUCCGAUGGCCAACAGGUAGAGAUUCCUGUACUAGAGUAUAGAGUGAAGGAGGGACGCAGUAGGCUAACUCAAGCGUGCGAAUGGAAGAGCACGUCUAAGCAGUGAGGUGUGAUAGGAGUCAAAUGCUUCUAUCUGUAACAUUGAGCUGUGAUGGGGAGCGAAGUUUAGUAGCGAAGUGAGUGACGUCACACUGCCAAGAAAAGCUUCUAGCGUUAAUUUAUACUCUACCCGUACCGCAAACCGACACAGGUAGUCGAGGCGAGUAGCCUCAGGUGAUCGAGAGAACUCUCGUUAAGGAACUCGGCAAAAUGACCCCGUAACUUCGGGAGAAGGGGUGCUGGCUUAAAGUCAGCCGCAGUGAAUAGGCCCAAGCAACUGUUUAUCAAAAACACAGCUCUCUGCUAAAUCGUAAGAUGAUGUAUAGGGGGUGACGCCUGCCCGGUGCUGGAAGGUUAAGAGGAGUGCUUAGACGUAAGUCGAAGGUAUGAAUUGAAGCCCCAGUAAACGGCGGCCGUAACUAUAACGGUCCUAAGGUAGCGAAAUUCCUUGUCGGGUAAGUUCCGACCCGCACGAAAGGCGUAAUGAUUUGGGCACUGUCUCAACGAGAGACUCGGUGAAAUUUUAGUACCUGUGAAGAUGCAGGUUACCCGCGACAGGACGGAAAGACCCCAUGGAGCUUUACUGCAGUUUGAUAUUGAGUGUCUGUGCCACAUGUACAGGAUAGGUAGGAGCCAAAGAGAUCGGGACGCCAGUUUCGAUGGAGGCGAUGUUGGGAUACUACCCUUGUGUUAUGGCCACUCUAACCCGG
rnacentral:rRNA from 1 species